GGGCCCGUAGCUCAGCUUGGCCAGAGCGCCUGGCUUUUAACCAGGGUGUCGUGGGUCCGAAGAACCUUUUCUGCGGUGCUCCUCACUUCGUUCGUCCGCUCCUUGAAAAGCUUCACCAAAAGCUGCGCAAGGUUCAAACCCGCAUAACAGCAGAACAGGCCAUUUGCCGGAAAUCCCACCGGGCCCG
rnacentral:tRNA from 1 species